rnacentral:rRNA from 1 species
AAAGACUGACGCUCAUGCACGAAAGCGUGGGGAUCAAACAGGAUUAGAUACCCUGGUAGUCCACGCUGUAAACGAUGAUCACUCGUUGUUAGCGAUAUACUGUUAGCGACUGAGCGAAAGCAUUAAGUGAUCCACCUGGGGAGUACGGCGGCAACGUUGAAACUCAAAGGAAUUGACGGGGGCCCGCACAAGCGGAGGAGCAUGUGGUUUAAUUCGAUGAUACGCGAGGAACCUUACCUGGGCUUAAAUGCAGGACGACGUUUCGUGAAAGCGGAAUUUCCUUCGGGACGUCUUGCAAGGUGCUGCAUGGUUGUCGUCAGCUCGUGCCGUGAGGUGUCGGGUUAAGUCCCAUAACGAGCGCAACCCCUAUUCUUAGUUGCCAUCAGGUCAUGCUGGGAACUCUAAGAAAACUGCCUACGCAAGUAGUGAGGAAGGUGGGGAUGACGUCAAAUCAGCACGGCCCUUAUGUCCAGGGCGACACACGUGCUACAAUGGCCAGUACAGAGGGUUGCAAA